GACGAACGCUGGCGGCGUGCUUAACACAUGCGAGUCGAGCGGAAAGGCCCGUCGCUGUACUCGAGCGGCGAACGGGUGGGUAACUCGUGAGUAACCUGCCCCAGACUUUGUGAUAACCCUCGGACACGGGGGCUAAUGCCCGAUACGCCACAGCUUCACAGGGGGUCUUUGUGGAAAAGUGUGCGGUGUUGGAUGGGCUCGCGGCCUAUCAGCUUGCUGGGCGGGUGAUGGUUUACGAAGGCGCAGACGGGUAGGCGGCCUGUGAGUGCGACCGGCCACACGGGGACUGAGAGAGGGACCAGACUGCUACGGGAGGCAGCAGUGGGGAAUAUUGCACAACGGGCGGAAGCGUGAUGCAGCGAUGCCGCGUGCGGGAUGACGGCCUUCGGGUUGUAAACAUAUUUCAGCGGGGCUGAAGCGUAAGUGACGGUACCUGCAGAAGAAGCGACGGCCAACUACGUG
rnacentral:rRNA from 1 species